rnacentral:rRNA from 1 species
UACAGAGGGGGCAAGCGUUUGUUCGGAAUUACUAGGCGUAAAGGGCGCGUAGGCGGCCCGCUAAGUCGAGCGUGAAAUCCCCGAGCUCAACUCGGGAUGCGUCAUCACUGGUGGGCUUGAAUCCGGGGAGAGGGAUGCGGAAUUCCAGGUGUAGCGGUGAAAUGCGUAGAUAUCUGGAGGAACACCGGUGGCGAAGGCGGCAUCCUGGGACCGGCAUUGACGCUGAGGCGCGAAAGCUAGGGGAGCAAACAGGGG